ACAUCCUUUAACAAGUAGUCCAGUGAGGCUAAUAAGGAGCAGAAAUUUCUUGGAAUAGAACUGAUUUAUAUAUUAUAGUCAGUAGACUCCAGGAAAUUAUUAGUGGGAAAAUGUAUUUCAAAACACCCCUAACCCUAAUGAAUAUUUUAGGAAGCUCUCUUAUUCUUGCAUGGAUAAGAGGGCUUUUUGUAU
rfam:Marinilactibacillus sp. 15R, complete genome.